rnacentral:rRNA from 1 species
CCUACGGGGGGCAGCAGUGGGGAAUAUUGCACAAUGGGCGCAAGCCUGAUGCAGCCAUGCCGCGUGUGUGAAGAAGGCCUUCGGGUUGUAAAGCACUUUCAGCGGGGAGGAAGGCGUUAAGGUUAAUAACCUUGGCGAUUGACGUUACCCGCAGAAGAAGCACCGGCUAACUCCGUGCCAGCAGCCGCGGUAAUACGGAGGGUGCAAGCGUUAAUCGGAAUUACUGGGCGUAAAGCGCACGCAGGCGGUCUGUCAAGUCGGAUGUGAAAUCCCCGGGCUCAACCUGGGAACUGCAUUCGAAACUGGCAGGCUAGAGUCUUGUAGAGGGGGGUAGAAUUCCAGGUGUAGCGGUGAAAUGCGUAGAGAUCUGGAGGAAUACCGGUGGCGAAGGCGGCCCCCUAGACAAAGACUGACGCUCAGGUGCGAAAGCGUGGGGAGCAAACAGGAUUAGAUACCCUUGUAGUC